UUUGUGACUAACACAGGAUGAUGUGAGCAG
rnacentral:piRNA from 1 species